rnacentral:rRNA from 1 species
UACGGAGGGUGCAAGCGUUAUCCGGAUUCACUGGGUUUAAAGGGUGCGUAGGCGGGCAGGUAAGUCAGUGGUGAAAUCUCCGGGCUUAACCCGGAAACUGCCGUUGAUACUAUCUGUCUUGGAUAUCGUGGAGGUAAGCGGAAUAUGUCAUGUAGCGGUGAAAUGCUUAGAUAUGACAUAGAACACCCAUUGCGAAGGCAGCUUACUACACGAUCAUUGACGCUGAGGCACGAAAGCGUGGGGAGCAAACAGG